GACGAACGCUGGCGGCGUGCCUAAUACAUGCAAGUCGAACGAACCGCGACUAGGUGCUUGCACUUGGUCAAGGUGAGUGGCGAACGGGUGAGUAACACGUGGGUAACCUACCUCAUAGUGGGGGAUAACAGUCGGAAACGACUGCUAAUACCGCAUAGGACAUAGGAUCACAUGAUCCAGUGAGGAAAGGUGGCGCAAGCUAUCGCUAAGAGAUGGACCCGCGGUGCAUUAGCUGGUUGGUCGGGUAAAGGCCUACUAAGGCGGUGAUGGAUAGCCGACCGUAGGGGGGGAUCGGCCACAUUGGGGAUGAGACGCGGCCCAAAGUCCUACGGGAGGCAGCAGUAGGGAAGCUGGCGAAAUGGGCGGAAGUUUGACGGAGCAACGGCGGGUGGGUGAAGAAGGGCCGCGGAUCGGAAAGCGCUGUUGUUAGAGAAGAACAGCGCAUAGAGUAACGGUUAUGCGUGUGACGGUAUCUAUCCAGAAAGCCACGGCUAACUACGU
rnacentral:rRNA from 1 species